GGAUCCAUAAAUACAAAUGUUGGGAAAUUAAGGAAUAUGCAAUUUAAUCAGAUGUCAUCUAGUGGCCUUUUUGAGUACAUCAGAUUACAAAUCUCUGGCCCUCUUUGUGGCUGUGUAAAAUAUGUUUUCAAAUAGAAUGACAAAGCUGCAAAACUUUACCCUAAAUAUAAACCAAGAUAGUCAAUACCAUACAAAUGUACUCAAUUUUACCAUGUCAAUAAUUGGUUGUAUAAAGAAGUUGAAGCGUAAUUGAAAAUUCCAUUGCUGAUUAGACAGUUCUCAUUAGACCAUCUUCCCCUUUAACCAAGUUGUCUAGCCAACAGAAACUCCUUUACUAUAUCUUGAAAACAAUAUUUCUCAGUUCAAGUAUUAAAGUUUGGCUUGCCUGUUAAUUACCAAAAUGACAGCGUUCAGUAACUUAUGUAAAGUAACAGUAGCGUUGCAACCAUAUGACAGCUCAAAUAAGCCCCUUAAGAACAAGAGGCUUGUAGAAUCAUUUCUUUGAGUAUUCAGUUCAUAAUUUGCUGUAGGGGAACUAUUGGGCAUUACCAACUGAAAUAAACACAAUGAGUGACAAUUUGUCAGUCAGAGCCAAACUUCAUCACUAGAGAAAUGUGCCAUAACAGCUGGCUAACGGUUUUGAUUGACCUCUAGGCUGUCUAAUAAACUUGUGACGCACAGUGUAAAGGUCUACAUCAAUUGUAGGUAACAAUUUCACUCCUACGGCGCUAGAGUUGACAGCUGGGUCCUUAAUUGACAUGGCACUAUUACAAGAUACAGUAAAGGACAACCUCUGGUCAGAGGUAACAUCCUUUAUGAAACUCAUGUUAAACUUCUCCUAUUGUUAUGACCCUCAGCCACUAGUAAGUCUACAAUAGUCAGUAUUUAUCACUGUAUGAAGAUGCUCAGUAAAAGAGCAAAGCACCUCAAUAGACUGACAACAUCCAUUACUACAGGUCAACACUUAGAAAACAGCAACAAACUUCAGUGAUCUUUUUUAUUGUUUUACAAGAAGCCUUGCCUCCAAUACAGUAGUGUUGUGAACAGAAA